rnacentral:rRNA from 1 species
GAUGAACGCUGGCGGCGUGCUUAACACAUGCAAGUCGAACGAAGCAUUUAGGACAGAUUACUUCGGUUUGAAGUUCUUUAUGACUGAGUGGCGGACGGGUGAGUAACGCGUGGGUAACCUGCCUUGUACUGGGGGAUAGCAGCUGGAAACGGCUGGUAAUACCGCAUAAGCGCACAAUGUUGCAUGACAUGGUGUGAAAAACUCCGGUGGUAUAAGAUGGACCCGCGUCUGAUUAGCUAGUUGGUGAGAUAGCAGCCCACCAAGGCGACGAUCAGUAGCCGACCUGAGAGGGUGACCGGCCACAUUGGGACUGAGACACGGCCCAGACUCCUACGGGAGUCAGCAGUGGGGAAUAUUGCACAAUGGAGGAAACUCUGAUGCAGCGACGCCGCGUGAGUGAAGAAGUAAUUCGUUAUGUAAAGCUCUAUCAGCAGGGAAGAUAGUGACGGUACCUGACUAAGAAGCUCCGGCUAAAUACGUG